rnacentral:rRNA from 1 species
GACGAACGCUGGCGGCGUGCUUAACACAUGCAAGUCGAACGGUGAACCUCUUCGGAGGGGAUCAGUGGCGAACGGGUGAGUAACACGUGGGCAACCUGCCCCCGGCUCUGGGAUAACUCCAAGAAAUCGGGGCUAAUACCGGAUGUUCACCGCUUCCCGCAUGGGUGGUGGUGGAAAGGGUUUCCGGCUGGGGAUGGGCCCGCGGCCUAUCAGCUUGUUGGUGGGGUAGUGGCCUACCAAGGCGACGACGGGUAGCCGGCCUGAGAGGGUGACCGGCCACACUGGGACUGAGACACGGCCCAGACUCCUACGGGAGGCAGCAGUGGGGAAUAUUGCGCAAUGGGCGGAAGCCUGACGCAGCGACGCCGCGUGGGGGAUGACGGCCUUCGGGUUGUAAACCUCUUUCAGCAGGGACGAAGCGCAAGUGACGGUACCUGCAGAAGAAGCACCGGCCAACUACGUG